rnacentral:rRNA from 1 species
UAAUGCGAGGGGGGCAAGCGUUGUCCGGAUUUAUUGGGCGUAAAGAGUUCGUAGGCUGGUUGGUCAGUCGAAAUUGAAAUCCCACGGCUUAACCGUGGACCUGGUUUUGAUACUGCCAAUCUUGAGUGAGGUAGAGGUAAGCGGAAUUCCUGGUGUAGCGGUGAAAUGCGUAGAUAUCAGGAGGAACACCAAAGGCGAAGGCAGCUUACUGGACCUAUACUGACGCUGAGGAACGAAAGCGUGGGGAGCAAACAGGAUUAGAGACCCUGGUAGUCCACGCCGUAACGAUGAGUACUUGGUGGUGGGGGAAUCGACCCCUUCACUGUCGGAGCUAACGCGUUAAGUACUCCGCCUGGGAACUACGACCGCAAGGUUG